AGCAGCCGCGGUAAUUCCAGCUCCAAUAGCGUAUAUUAAAGUUGUUGCAGUUAAAAAGCUCGUAGUUGAAUUUCGGGGUCAGUAGAUUGGUCGUGCCACUGGUAUGUACUGGUCUUACUGGCUCCUCCUUCCUGAUGAACCGUAAUGCCAUUAAUUUGGUGUUGCGGGGAGACUGGACUGUUACUUUGAAAAAAUUAGGGUGUUUAAAGCAGGCUAACGCUUGAAUACAUUAGCAUGGAAUAAUGAAAUAGGACGUUCGAUCUUAUUUUGUUGGUUUCUAGGAUUGACGUAAUGAUUAAUAGGGAUAGUUGGUGGCAUUAGUAUUCAAUUGUCAGAGGUGAAAUUCUUGGAUUUAU
rnacentral:rRNA from 1 species